AAAAUAUUUAUUGAAUAAAAUAUUUUCUAUAGAAUCAUAAAUUAUGAUAAUAUUCACUUAACAUUAACAUAAGAAAUUGUAGAAAAUAUAAAAUGUAGGAAAUAAUCAAAUAUAACACUUCGCUUUGGCUCUGCCUGAUAUUUAGUCCAGUCCUCACAAUAUUAGCUUUGUCUAUACAAUGUCAACAUAAGCCUAUAGGCUAUGUCUGCAGCUGCACUACCGUUCAAAAGUUUGGGGUCACUUAGAAAUGUCCUUUUAUUUAUUUAAGCAACAACAACAAAAAAUCCAUUAAAGUAACAUCAAAUUGAUCAGAAAUACAGUGUAGACAUUGUUAAUGUUGUAAAUGACUAUUGUAGCUGGAAAAGGCAGAUCUACGUAGGUGUACUGGGGCCAAUUAUCAGCAACCAUCACUUCUGUGUUCCAAUGGUACGUUGUGUUAGCUAAUCCAAGUUUUUUAAUUUUAAAAGGCCAAUUGAUCAUUAGAAAACCAUUUUGCAAUUAUGUUAGCACAGCUGAAAACUGUUGUUCUGAUUUAAAGAAUCAAUAAAACUGGCCUCUUUAGACUAGUUGAGUAUCUGGAGCAUCAGCAUUUGGGGGUUCGAUUGCAGGCUCAAAAUGGCCAGAAACAAAGACCUUUCCAAUAAAACUCAUCAGUCUAUUGUUCUGAGAAAGGAAGGCUAUUCCAUGCGAGAAGUUGCCAAGAAACUGAAGAUCUCGUACAACGCUGUGUACUACUCCCGUCACAGAACAGCGCAAACUGGCCUUAUGUAAAUAUUACAGUGGGAUCCUUCGAUUAUCAUGAAAAAAUGUGACAAAGAGGAGGAAUUUGUAUACAAAACAAAUGUGACUAUGUGAAUGAAUAUCGCCGACAACUAUCUAAAGGUGACUUCUAUCGCAAACUGAAUAAUGACCCUAGAAUUUCAGCAUAUUAUCUCAUCUACAGUGGAAAGCUGUUUGGAAUCAGGACAAAUCACCCAAAAAUUAUGUGAAUUUCUAUGUGUGAAAUUUCCUAAGAUACCAACUUGUUAUACAGUUGCAAAAUUACACAAACAAGUGUCUUCUCCCGCAGGUAGCCCAUUGUAGCAGCAAUUGACUCUGUGACAGCCAACAUUUCUAAGUUUGUGGAUCACCACAUUAAACUGAUGGUUGAGAAUCUCCCAUCCUUAUGUCAAAGACACUAGUCACAUGAUCUCAUUGAUAGAGAGAUUAGAAGGAUACCAGAGGGCACCCUGCUGGCCACUUUUUAUGUGGAGAACUUGUACACUAACGUCCCACAUACUGAGGCUUGCAGGCGCUGCAACACUUCCUUCAGCAGAGACUACCCUUGCUCCAUCCAAUGAUUGCAUCUUACAAUUUACUGAACUGGUAUUAUCCAAAAACGACUUUGUCUUUGAAUCAGACUUUUUCCUUCAAAGCCUACGUAGGACAAACGAAAAGACAAUUAAAACAAUGCAUAGCUGAACACCGCAGCUCAAUCAGGUGUAAGAACAUUGACUAUCCAGUAGCAGCUCACUUUGUUGAAGCUAACCAUCCCAUCUCCUCCCUCAAAUACACAGGCAUUGAGCAUGUUGCUCUACCAAGGAGAGGAGGAAACCUCGGGAUCCUACUAUUACAAAGGGAGGCUUACUGGAUAUUCUAUCUAAAAACAUUGACCCCUAGUGGUCUGAAUAUUGACUUUGAUUUCAGGCCCUUCUUAUGAACAAUUCUCUCUCUUAUGAGCAAGUUGGAUAAAUGAGCUGUAUAGACCCUCACUCCUCAUCACACAAACCAACAACAGUCACACCACUCUGUCCUGUUCUGCUACUGGACGACCUGUUCCUAUAGUAACCUGGGACAACACAGAAAUUCUAGAAAAUUCCACAAUGAUCAAUGUCACCCAUCUCAAUGGUACUGUCACUGUCAUCAUAACUUCCACGCUGGCAGCAUUCAGACUACCUGACAAAGACACCAGGGUUGGCUGUGUGGUGUCACUGUUCUCUGGAGGUGUCACCAAGAACGUUUCCAUGGUUAUUCCAGCUAGAACUCAAGCUUCAUUUCCUGUUAAGCCAACAGGGAUUGUUGCAGUGAUGGGUUCACUGUGUUUCAUUGCUGUGUGCUGUGGAGCUGCUGUGGUACUGUGGUGCAAACUGAGAAAUAAAAUGAGAAGGUAGGUUUUACUGUUCAGAUGACAAAGAGAAAUUACAGUAUUACUUUGACAUUAAUUGUCAAACUUACCAAAACUGUCUUUAGCCCAAAUUCCCACAGUCCAUAACAUAGAACAGGAAGAACUAUCAACACUCAACCCUCAACAUGAUGACUGAAAUCCACAGGUCUAGUAAGACACAUAUUCAAAUGAGUUGCAUUCCUGCAUUGUUGUUCUGAUGUUACUCAUGUCACUUACAUACUUCAUAAAACAAAUAUGUGAAUUACCCUUAUUUAUACGGAACAAUAUGUUAAUUACCAUUCAUAGAGAACAAUAUGUCAAUUACCCUCUUUACACACAACAAUAUGUUAAUUACCCUCUUUAUACACAACAAUAUGUUAAUUACCCUCUUUAUACAGAGAUUUUGUUUUAAUUACCCUCUUUAUACAGAACAAUAUGUUAAUUACCGUCUUUAUACAGAACAAUAUGUUAAUUACCCUCUUUAUACAGAUAUUUUGUCUUAAUUACCCUCUUUAUACAGAACAAUAUGUUAAUUACCCUCUUUAUACAGAACAAUAUGUUAAUGACUCUCUUUAUACAGAACAAUAUGAAAACGUUUCUAAAGGAUGACUGAGUGACUAUCAUACUGUCACACACACAUCUGUGGCACGGAGACAGUUGAGUUGUCUCGGACAGAUACUGACAGAUACUGAUUAGCUGACUGAACGGUUAAUGACACACACGUAGUCCUGCGGGUUAUUGUAUAAAUAUGUUCAUAUGUAGCCUAUGUAAAUAUAUUAGCAGUUUGGUCAUGAAGAACCCCUAGAAGUGUAUGCUUCAUUCUUAUGUUUGUUAUAAAUCUAGGUGUUGUAAUAUUGUAGCCUACACAAUGUCAUCAUAAUGUACUCUGUGGUGUGUUUUGUGUGCGUUUUCGUUUCAUUAUUUAAUCACUUUAUAAAUCAAAUGCUGUAACAAUGUUGUAAUUUAUGGAAUUGUCAUAAAUCUGCUGCUGGCA
rnacentral:lncRNA from 1 species